GACGAACGCUGGCGGCGUGCUUAACACAUGCAAGUCGAACGGAAAGGCCCCUUUGGGGGUACUCGAGUGGCGAACGGGUGAGUAACACGUGAGUAACCUGCCCUUGACUUCGGGAUAACUUCAGGAAACUGGGGCUAAUACCGGAUAGGAAUCCUUGCUGCAUGGUGGGGGUUGGAAAGCUUCGGCGGUUUUGGAUGGACUCGCGGCUUAUCAGCUUGUUGGUGGGGUAGUGGCUUACCAAGGCUUUGACGGGUAGCCGGCCUGAGAGGGCGACCGGCCACAUUGGGACUGAGAUACGGCCCAGACUCCUACGGGAGGCAGCAGUGGGGAAUAUUGCACAAUGGGCGUAAGCCUGAUGCAGCAACGCCGCGUGCGGGAUGACGGCCUUCGGGUUGUAAACCGCGUUCAGCAGGGGCGAAGCUUGUGGUGACGGUACCUGCAGAAGAAGCACCGGCUAACUACGUG
rnacentral:rRNA from 1 species